AGAGUUUGAUCAUGGCUCAGGACGAACGCUGGCGGCGUGCUUAACACAUGCAAGUCGAACGAUGAAGCCCAGCUUGCUGGGUGGAAGAGUGGCGAACGGGUGAGUAACACGUGAGUAACCUGCCCUUCACUCUGGGAUAAGCGCUGGAAACGGUGUCUAAUACUGGAUACGACCCUUACAGGCAUCUGUUGGGGGUGGAAAGAUUUAUCGGUGAAGGAUGGGCUCGCGGCCUAUCAGGUAGUUGGUGAGGUAACGGCUCACCAAGGCGACGACGGGUAGCCGGCCUGAGAGGGUGAUCAGCCACACUGGGACUGAGACACGGCCCAGACUCCUACGGGAGGCAGCAGUGGGGA
rnacentral:rRNA from 1 species